rnacentral:lncRNA from 1 species
AUGUUUCCUGAACACAAAAUGGCGACACGUGGUUAGCAUUCGUCGCCAACGAGAAAUUGGGGUCGGCCCGAAAGCUCUAGAAUGCACCCCUCUUCCUCCCCGGGGCCUUCCACCUCCGCGAGUUUUAUGACUUAAAAAAGCCCACAGGCUGGUCUGAAGAGGAAGACAAACAUAAAGAUGAAGUGCUUAAUUCAAGGUCACACAAUGUCGGGGAUGGACCUCCAGAUUUCCUUACUGACCUGCAUUAUCUUGUGGAUACCUGAGUGAAUUCCACACCACCCAUUUUAUAGAUGAAACCACUGAGACAUGGAGCAAUUGACUGAGUAGUCACUGCCCCACCCCUGCCUGGAGCCUCACACAUGACUCGCCUCCUCUCAGUGACCACAGGUGAGACGUGGUCUUGUAACACAGUGGUUAAGAAUGUGACUUUGGAGCCAGCCUGCUAGGGGCUGAAUUCUGACUCAGCCAUUUACUAACUGUGUGACCUUAGGUGGAGUCUCACUCUGUAGCCCAAGCUGGAGUGGCGUGAUCUCGACUCACUGCAACCUCCGCCUCCUGGGAUCAAGUGAUUCUCGUGCCUCAGCCUCCUGAGUAGCCGGGACUACAGGUCACAGAAUUUUCCACACUCCUUGACAGAGGUGCUUAACCCUUAUCCAUCAGCAUUCUCAGACAGCACCUCCGGUUAGGGACAGUAUCUGACCGUCCGACAUCCCUGCAGCCCCCAUGUGUCACACAGACUCAGCCUCAGGUAGAUGGUUUCCGUAGAUGGUGGCUUUCUUUGGACCCUUGACAUCAACCAGUUACUAUUUGGGCCACACAUAACAAAUAGAAGCAGAGCAAGCCCUGGAACUCCUGCCUGACAGUGACACGACGACAGAAACAUCUUACCAGUCAGAGGACCAUGAGAAAUAGAUUCAAGGAGCAUUCCACGUGCAAGUGAGUCUUGGCCCCAUCUGCCUUUGGAUUUUAGCCGUGAACUGGAAGGUAUUGGAAAGAAGACCCUCAGAAAUAGCUUAAUCAAAAUCCCUGCGUCUGAACCAAGUGCCUUAUUUCUCUGUGGGCCUCAAGCUUCGCUGACAUCUGUGGAGCACACUGUCCUAACAGGAGUGCUGUCUGAUUUCCCAACGCUCUGCAAAACAAACAGCCUGGAAGGGUGGCUGGUGGAAGGUGGUUUUUAGAGAGAGACUUGUAGAUAACAGGAAAGUGAAGGCUGUAAGGAAGGUUGUAAUUAAACAGCACAUGGAAACACAAUCA